CCUACGGGGGGCAGCAGUGAGGAAUAUUGGUCAAUGGACGAGAGUCUGAACCAGCCAAGUAGCGUGAAGGAUGACUGCCCUAUGGGUUGUAAACUUCUUUUAUAUGGGAAUAAAAUGUUCCACGUGUGGGAUUUUGUAUGUACCAUAUGAAUAAGGAUCGGCUAACUCCGUGCCAGCAGCCGCGGUAAUACGGAGGAUCCGAGCGUUAUCCGGCUUGAUUGGGUUUAAAGGGAGCGUAGGUGGAUUGUUAAGUCAGUUGUGAAAGUUUGCGGCUCAACCGUAAAAUUGCAGUUGAAACUGGCAGUCUUGAGUACAGUAGAGGUGGGCGGAAUUCGUGGUGUAGCGGUGAAAUGCUUAGAUAUCACGAAGAACUCCGAUUGCGAAGGCAGCUCACUGGACUGCAACUGACACUGAGGCUCGAAAGUGUGGGUAUCAAACAGGAUUAGAUACCCGAGUAGUC
rnacentral:rRNA from 1 species